UUCUUCUCUUUCCUUCUUCCAUAAACACGUUUUCUCUCCUUAUACUCUCUCAUUCUUCCUCCUUUUUCUUCUCAUUCUCUAUGUAUUUUAUGUCUUACUUUUUUUCUAAAAUGAUAUCUUCUCUCUUCCACUGCCUCUGUCUUCCUAUUCUUCUUUCUUCUCUUCCUUUUCUUCAACAAAAACAACCGGGUUGUGGGACGAUUUACAGAAAUAUAGAAAUCGAAGUUUUUUAUGGUUUAUGCUUUUUUUAUUUUGACCUAAGAUUGUUGGUGUUGCAGGAAUGGGGAAGAUGACGGCGAUUAUGACGUUUUUGGUGAUUUUACAGCGAUAUGCGGUAUCGCGGUGGUGGAUUUGUGGUGGAUCUUGGUAAAAUAGGGGACUUGAGGCAUGGAUCUGAAGCAUUGCGUUUUGAAUGUUCUUAAAGCUUGUAUCAUAUACAAAUGUUCUUCUACAACUCCUCUCACUGGUUUGGAAGCAUGUGUAUAUGCAUCGGAAAAUGGUUUAUUUAUCAUGGAGACAUUUUCCAAAUCUGCAUCCAAUGUUAAUGAAGUGUUUUAUGAAAUUGGUGAUAUUUUAAGGAAGCGAUCUAUAAUAAUCUGGUGAUGUUACUAAUAUUUUAAUUGAGAGAAUUUCUUAUUUAAUUUCAAUAUUUUUUACACACUAUCUGAUUUAAGGCUUUGUGAAUUUUCGGGGAAGAGAAGAUGAGAUUCCCCAUGGCUGCCCAGAAGUUAUUAUGAAAGAUGAUGCUAAAAUGUUGGAAAUGUUUGGGUACCUCAUGAGGUAAGAAUAAUUUUAGCAUAUCAAACUCCGGAUUUGAUGUUUCAUUAUGCAUCGUCUUCUCAUAAACAAGGCAUUCAAGUUAUCAUUGUUGGUGCUGGUGGUGCAGCUCACUUGCCUGUGUUUAGAGCCAAGGAAUCUUUGUGAAUUUGAUGUGGCGGGUAUGUAAUGCAAGGUACGAUGGGACUGCCUCAAGGGUUUGAGCUCUCAUGCCAUUCAUUUUACAGUUUGGACGAGCUAUGGGAUGUCCAUUUACUUAUCAAUAGAGACCAAAACUAUGUUGUUGUAUGUGCAUUUUUUUCAUGACAGUAUAACUUUGUUUUGUGAUGUCACUACGCCAAAUAAGGGAAUAGAGGGCGCUUAUUUUGGCCUAUAACAGCGCUUUUAAGCGCCCUCUAAAGUGGCGCUAGCAUAGGUAAAGACAGCGCUUUGUU